UGUUCUAACGUGGACCCGUGAUCCGGGUUGCGGACAGUGUCUGGUGGGUAGUUUGACUGGGGCGGUCUCCUCCUAAAGAGUAACGGAGGAGCACGAAGGUUGGCUAAUCCUGGUCGGACAUCAGGAGGUUAGUGCAAUGGCAUAAGCCAGCUUGACUGCGAGCGUGACGGCGCGAGCAGGUGCGAAAGCAGGUCAUAGUGAUCCGGUGGUUCUGAAUGGAAGGGCCAUCGCUCAACGGAUAAAAGGUACUCCGGGGAUAACAGGCUGAUACCGCCCAAGAGUUCAUAUCGACGGCGGUGUUUGGCACCUCGAUGUCGGCUCAUCACAUCCUGGGGCUGAAGUAGGUCCCAAGGGUAUGGCUGUUCGCCAUUUAAAGUGGUACGCGAGCUGGGUUUAGAACGUCGUGAGACAGUUCGGUCCCUAUCUGCCGUGGGCGCUGGAGAACUGAGGGGGGCUGCUCCUAGUACGAGAGGACCGGAGUGGACGCAUCACUGGUGUUCGGGUUGUCAUGCC
rnacentral:rRNA from 1 species